CCUGGUUGCUGGGGGGCAUCCAUUCUGACAUCAGCAGAGGUGCCCAUGUGACCUGGUUGCAUAGUCAUCUCUGCCGAUGUUAGAAGAGGGCACCUGUGACAGCCUGGUGCUCACAUGGAGUUGUAGCAGCAGCGGUGGUGAUAUGAUCCUGAUCCAUCUCCUUUUCCCUGAUUGAUGAAUGUAUGAAGAAUGAUGGUGCUGGCAUUCCACGUGGACAGUGGAAUGGUCUGAACUGGACCUGAUCCAACUGUCCAGACUGUAGGAUAUUCUGAACACCUAUUACUGAGGCAUGCAUAUAUAAUUUCACAGAAGGAAGAAUAUUCUAUUGAGGACAUGCUGUCUUUCUCCAGUAAAGAAAGCAGCAACAUCUGGGUGGCUGCGUUAUAUCCAUUCCUGCUAUGAAGUGAACUGGAGAGAAGAUUAGAUCCAUAAAGUACAGAGUUAAUAAAGAUCUGUAUUUUUAACCUAAA